GGGGGAAUUUUGCACAAUGGAGGAAACUCUGAUGCAGCGACGCCGCGUGAGUGAUGAAGAUCUUCGGAUUGUAAAACUCUGUCCUUAGUGAAGAUAAUGACAGUAACUAAGAAGCAAGCCCUGGCUAAAUACGUGCCAGCAGCCGCGGUAAUACGUAUGGGGCAAGCGUUGUCCGGAAUUAUUGGGCGUAAAGGGUACGUAGGCGGUUUAAUAAGUCCUAAUUAAAAGGCUAUGGCUCAACCAUAGUAUGGUUAGGAAACUGUUGAACUUGAGUAGAUGAGGGGAAAGUGGAAUUCCAUGUGUAGCGGUGAAAUGCGUAGAUAUAUGGAGGAACACCAAUGGCGAAGGCAACUUUCUGGAAUCAAACUGACGCUGAGGUACGAAGGCGUGGGGAGCAAACAGG
rnacentral:rRNA from 1 species